rnacentral:rRNA from 1 species
AGGGCGUUUGAGUAGCACGCUCAAGACCCGAAGCGGAGUGAUCUAGCCAUGGGCAGGUUGAAGCGGAGGUAAGACUUCGUGGAGGACCGAACCCACCAGGGUUGAAAACCUGGGGGAUGACCUGUGGUUAGGGGUGAAAGGCCAAUCAAACUCCGUUAUAGCUGGUUCUCCCCGAAAUGCAUUUAGGUGCAGCGUCGUGUGUUUCUUGCCGGAGGUAGAGCACUGGAUAGGCGAUGGGCCCUACCGGGUUACUGACCUUAGCCAAACUCCGAAUGCCGGUAAGUGAGAGCGCGGCAGUGAGACUGUGGGGGAUAAGCUCCAUGGUCGAGAGGGAAACAGCCCAGAGCAUCGACUAAGGCCCCUAAGCGUACGCUAAGUGGGAAAGGAUGUGGAGUCGCACAGACAACCAGGAGGUUGGCUUAGAAGCAGCCACCCUUGAAAGAGUGCGUAAUAGCUCACUGGUCUAGUGAUUCCGCGCCGACAAUGUAGCGGGGCUCAAGCGUACCGCCGAAGUCGUGUCAUUGCAGCAUAACGGCCAACGCCGGCUGUGAUGGGUAGGGGAGCGUCGUCUGCCGGGUGAAGCGGCACUGGAAGGUAGUCGUGGACGGUUGACGAGUGAGAAUGCAGGCAUGAGUAGCGAUUCACACGUGAGAAACGUGUGCGCCGAUUGACUAAGGGUUCCUGGGUCAAGCUGAUCUGCCCAGGGUAAGUCGGGACCUAAGGCGAGGCCGACAGGCGUAGUCGAUGGAUAACCGGUUGAUAUUCCGGUACCCGCUGUGAAGCGUCAAACAUCGAGCAUCGUGAUGCUAAGGCCGUGAAGCCGCCCUGAUCUCUUCGGAGUUGAGGGGAGUGGUGGAGCCGCUGAACCAAGCGGUUAGUAGGUGAGUGAUGGGGUGACGCAGGAAGGUAGUCCAUCCCGGGCGGUGGUUGUCCCGGGGUAAGGGUGUAGGACGGUGUGUAGGUAAAUCCGCGCACUUUGUGUCUGAGACCUGAUGCCGAGCCGAUUGUGGCGAAGUGGAUGAUCCUAUGCUGUCGAGAAAAGCCUCUAGCGAGUUUCAUGGCGGCCCGUACCCUAAACCGACUCAGGUGGUCAGGUAGAGAAUACCGAGGCGUUCGGGUGAACUAUGGUUAAGGAAUUCGGCAAAAUGCCCCCGUAACUUCGGGAGAAGGGGGGCCAUUCCUGGUGAUCCGUUUUACACGGUGAGCUGGGGGUGGCCGCAGAGACCAGCGAGAAGCGACUGUUUACUAAAAACACAGGUCCGUGCGAAGCCGUAAGGCGAUGUAUACGGACUGACGCCUGCCCGGUGCUGGAACGUUAAGGGGACCGGUUAGCUCACUUUCGGGUGGGCGAAGCUGAGAACUUAAGCGCCAGUAAACGGCGGUGGUAACUAUAACCAUCCUAAGGUAGCGAAAUUCCUUGUCGGGUAAGUUCCGACCUGCACGAAUGGCGUAACGACUUCUCGACUGUCUCAACCAUAGGCCCGGUGAAAUUGCACUACGAGUAAAGAUGCUCGUUUCGCGCAGCAGGACGGAAAGACCCCGGGACCUUUACUACAGUUUGAUAUUGGUGUUCGGUUCGGCUUGUGUAGGAUAGCUGGGAGACUUUGAAGCAGCCACGCCAGUGGUUGUGGAGUCGUCGUUGAAAUACCAGUCUGGUCGUGCUGGAUGUCUAACCCGGGUCCGUGAUCCGGAUCGGGGACAGUGUCUGAUGGGUAGUUUAACUGGGGCGGUUGCCUCCUAAAGGGUAACGGAGGCGCCCAAAGGUUCCCUCAGCCUGGUUGGCAAUCAGGUGUUGAGUGUAAGUGCACAAGGGAGCUUGACUGUGAGACCGACGGGUCGAGCAGGGACGAAAGUCGGGACUAGUGAUCCGGCGGUGGCUUGUGGAAGCGCCGUCGCUCAACGGAUAAAAGGUACCCCGGGGAUAACAGGCUGAUCUUCCCCAAGAGUCCAUAUCGACGGGAUGGUUUGGCACCUCGAUGUCGGCUCGUCGCAUCCUGGGGCUGGAGUCGGUCCCAAGGGUUGGGCUGUUCGCCCAUUAAAGCGGUACGCGAGCUGGGUUUAGAACGUCGUGAGACAGUUCGGUCCCUAUCCGCUGUGCGCGUAGGAGUCUUGAGAAGGGCUGUCCCUAGUACGAGAGGACCGGGACGGACGAACCUCUGGUGUGCCAGUUGUUCUGCCAAGGGCAUGGCUGGUUGGCUACGUUCGGGAGGGAUAACCGCUGAAAGCAUCUAAGCGGGAAGCCUGCUUCGAGAUGAGGACUCCCACCCACUUGAUGGGGUAAGGCUCCCAGUAGACGACUGGGUUGAUAGGCCGGAUCUGGAAGCACGGUAACGUGUGGAGGUGACCGGUACUAAUAGGCCGAGGGCUUGUCCUC